CUGGUCUUAGCCAGGUGGUUACCGCAACAGAGUCAAAAUCUGUGGAAUGUGCAGGUUUGAAACCUGCCGACGAUA